AUGCUAACCUCCCUGUCUCAAAUAUAGUUAAGUUGAUAUCAAUUCCAAAGUCCCCUUGUUGGUUAAUACUGACAGCAUGAGCAACGGUGGAUACAACUAAUAAUGAUCAAAUAAAGAAAGUAAACAAGGGUACCUUGAUUCCUGGGCAAUGGGCAAAAAAGGCUUCAGGACUCUGAGAAUGGUAAAGAGCCCCAUGGCCCACACAGCCCCAAGGGGCCCGGAUGGUGAGGCUCCCACAGUUGAAAAGAUCGCCAGAGCGGUAUCGAUACUUGGCAGCUUCGUUGACAAUCUGCAGAGAAAAGGGACAUGCCACCGUGACUCUUUCCUGCCUAAUGCAUGCCCCAAAAGCAUGACGUUGGGUCUUCAAAUGCAUUCCCACUAUAAAAUGCGAACUGCAGAGCACAAAUAGACAACGAUUGCUAAAGGAGGGGCAGGGCUGAGUGGGAGGGGCCCGAGUCUGAACACUGGAGGCUGGCCGGAAGAGAUACCCUUCCCAGCAAAGCAUCAAGCAACCUACCUGAUCAAAGGCAGGGAAAAUAUAGUCGGCAAACUGGAUUUCCGCAAUAGCUGUAGCACCAUGAGUGACCGCGAUUCCAAUGCCAAACCCAACAAUUCCUUGUUCACACAACGGGGUGUUAAACACUCUGUCUUUUCCUUUAAAAAAAA
rnacentral:lncRNA from 1 species